UACAGAGGUCUCAAGCGUUGUUCGGAUUCAUUGGGCGUAAAGGGUGCGUAGGCGGUGGGGCAAGUCAGGUGUGAAAUCCCGGAGCUCAACUCCGGAACUGCACUUGAUACUGCCUUGCUAGAGUACUGGAGAGGAGACUGGAAUUUACGGUGUAGCAGUGAAAUGCGUAGAGAUCGUAAGGAAGACCAGUGGCGAAGGCGGCUACCUGGACAAUUGCUGACGCUCAGGCACGAAAGCGUGGGGAGCAAAAGGG
rnacentral:rRNA from 1 species